CCUGUGGAUCUGUGUACCCAGAGCGAAGGCAACAGCUGCGGAGCUGGGAAAUGGGCAGGAAGUCUUCAGUCCUGACAUUUUAAAGUUUAAAAGAUUUCAGAACUAAAGAGCAAGACCACACAUUCUUCUAAGAACUAAAAGAACAUUGAAAAAUGAAAGAAAACCUACAAAUAAUGGGUGAGAAAAUUUCCUGCAGGGGGAAACAGCCUUACUGCACAGGUCAGAUGUUCACCACUUUUAUUUUUAAUCCGAGGAUUUCAGAACUGGAGUGCUAAAUGCUCUUCUAAGAUCUAAAAGAACGUUAGAAAAGGAAAGUUACUAGGAUACAACUACAAGCAAAAUGAAAUUGUGUUGCCAAAACAUGGAGAGUUGGAUUCAGAUUUACGCUGGAUGAACUGCACUGGCAGAAGCGGACUUCCCUGCCCCUCCUUCCCAAGCCAUCCUCCCCACAGAGAAUCAGGAGACCU